GAUGAACGCUGGCGGCGUGCCUAAUACAUGCAAGUCGAGCGAACAGACGAGGAGCUUGCUCCUCUGACGUUAGCGGCGGACGGGUGAGUAACACGUGGAUAACCUACCUAUAAGACUGGGAUAACUUCGGGAAACCGGAGCUAAUACCGGAUAAUAUAUUGAACCGCAUGGUUCAAUAGUGAAAGACGGUUUUGCUGUCACUUAUAGAUGGAUCCGCGCCGCAUUAGCUAGUUGGUAAGGUAACGGCUUACCAAGGCAACGAUGCGUAGCCGACCUGAGAGGGUGAUCGGCCACACUGGAACUGAGACGCGGUCCAGACUCCUACGAGAGGCAGCAGUAGGGAAUCUUCCGCAAUGGGCGAAAGCCUGACGGAGCAACGCCGCGUGAGUGAUGAAGGUCUUCGGAUCGUAAAACUCUGUUAUUAGGGAAGAACAAAUGUGUAAGUAACUAUGCACGUCUUGACGGUACCUAAUCAGAAAGCCACGGCUAACUACGUG
rnacentral:rRNA from 1 species